UACAGAGGUCCCGAGCGUUGUUCGGAUUCACUGGGCGUAAAGGGUGCGUAGGUGGCGAGGAAAGUCGGAUGUGAAAGCUCGGAGCUCAACUCCGAAAUGGCAUUGGAAACUACCUUGCUCGAGGGUUGGAGGGGGGACUGGAAUUCUCGGUGUAGCAGUGAAAUGCGUAGAUAUCGAGAGGAACACCAGUGGCGAAGGCGGCUUCCUGGACCGAUACUGACGCUGAGGCGCGAAAGCUAGGGGAGCAAACGGG
rnacentral:rRNA from 1 species